ACCGUAGCUUACGCGUGAAGUGAGCCGCUUGGGGAGUACGGCCGCAAGGUUAAAACUCAAAGGAAUUGACGGGAACCCGCACAAGCGGUGGAUGAUGUGGAUUAAUUCGAUGCAACGCGAACAACCUUACCUACCCUUGACAUGUCUGGAAGGCUGCUGAAAGGUGGCUGUGCCCGAAAGGGAACCGGAACACAGGUGCUGCAUGGCUGUCGUCAGCUCGUGUCGUGAGAUGUUGGGUUAAGUCCCGCAACGAGCGCAACCCUUGUCCCUAGUUGCUACGCAAGGGCACUCUAGGGAGACUGCCGGUGACAAACCGGAGGAAGGUGGGGAUGACGUCAAGUCCUCAUGGCCCUUAUGGGUAGGGCUUCACACGUCAUACAAUGGACGGUACAGAGGGUUGCCAACCCGCGAGGGGGAGCCAAUCCCAGAAAGCCGUUCGUAGUCCGGAUUGCAGUCUGCAACUCGACUGCAUGAAGUCGGAAUCGCUAGUAAUCGCGGAUCAGCAUGUCGCGGUGAAUACGUUCCCGGGUCUUGUACACACCGCCCGUCACACCAUGGGAGCGGGAUGUACCAGAAGUAGGUAGGCUAACCGCAAGGGGGCCGCUUACCACGGUGCGUUUCGUGACUGAGAGAAGUCGUAACAAGGUAACCGUAAAUCGAAUUCCGCGAGA
rnacentral:rRNA from 1 species